rnacentral:rRNA from 1 species
GACGAACGCUGGCGGCGUGCUUAACACAUGCAAGUCGAACGGAAAGGCCCUGCUUUUGUGGGGUGCUCGAGUGGCGAACGGGUGAGUAACACGUGAGUAACCUGCCCUUGACUUUGGGAUAACUUCAGGAAACUGGGGCUAAUACCGGAUAGGAGCUCCUGCUGCAUGGUGGGGGUUGGAAAGUUUCGGCGGUUGGGGAUGGACUCGCGGCUUAUCAGCUUGUUGGUGGGGUAGUGGCUUACCAAGGCUUUGACGGGUAGCCGGCCUGAGAGGGUGACCGGCCACAUUGGGACUGGGAUACGGCCCAGACUCAUACGGGAGGCAGCAGUGGGGAAUAUUGCACAAUGGGCGGAAGCCUGAUGCAGCAACGCCGCGUGCGGGAUGACGGCCUUCGGGUUGUAAACCGCUUUCGCCUGUGACGAAGCGUGAGGGACGGUAAUGGGUAAAGAAGCACCGGCUAACUACGU